CACUACAAAUGAUGAUUCACUACCGCCCCAGGCUGAUGUUGUGAGUGAUUGGUUGAUCUGAGAGGCU